rnacentral:rRNA from 1 species
UACGUGGGUGGCGAGCGUUAUCCGGAUUUACUGGGCGUAAAGCGCUUGUAGGCGGCUUCGUAAGUUGGGCGUGAAAGCUCCGGGCUUAACCCGGAGAGGCCGUCCAAUACUGCGGAGCUCGAGGGUGCCAGAGGAAGGUGGAAUUCCUGGUGUAGCGGUGAAAUGCGUAGAUAUCAGGCGGAACACCCGUGGCGAAGGCGGCUUUCUGGGGCAUUCCUGACGCUGAGAAGCGACAGCUAGGGGAGCAAACAGG